GUUCCGCCCUCACCUCGGGGGCGACCUGGCGGGUUCCUUGCACGCAGCGGGCCCUGAAUUGGCCGCGGGCGGCUCUGGGUUUGGGCAGCGUCUGCUUCGCCCAGGGCCCACCAGUAGGCCCGGAGCCUUUCGGACGCUCAACCCGGGGGAUCUGCGGCUGAGGGCCCCGGGCCGUUCCUCGCUCCGCGUUCCGAUAUUUCCAAACAUUCCAUCUGGCUUUUGAGCAGUGAUCUGAUCACUCCAGUCACUCCAGAAUGUGGAGACAAAGCAGCGAGAGUCGGCAGAAGAGAGGGAAUAUGGCAACAGUGCUAAUCCAGAGCACAGUGUUUGGAAUCACUAUGGCAUACAACCAAGAGCAUUUGUGGCUGUCCAAUGAGAACCUGAUUGUGAAGCUUCAGGCUUGCUGUUGAGGCUGUCUUGUUUGUCAGGAAUUUGACUCCAGAGUGAGUUUUUUGAAGAAGGAAGUUCCAGCAGUCAGUCACAUCCAGGAUGUCAUUUCUCACAGCAAAAAGCUUUUUAAGGAGAACAAGAAGCAGCUCUGACAUGAUGACGCUGAACAAGCAAAAAGGAGAAUUGAAAGCUUUGAGCAAAGAGAAGGGGGGGGAACAAAGCUGGAAGCCUGUCAACAUCUUUUCUACUUCCUUCAGACUAGCCCAGGGUAGUUGGGCAAGCUGAAUUUUUCAGAUGCCUAAAAGCAAAUGCACAGAGCUCAUGGAUUUGGUCAUCUUCACGCUGUGUAACUGUGUGUCCAGACGAAGAGAGGAAUAUCUGCUGUGUCAGCUUUCCCAAACAGCGCUUCUGGAGGAGAUCGGAUCUGAGCUGUGCUCUGGAACAGAAUGUACAGCUGGAUCUAGAACAGUUGCCAAAGAGGAGUCUGCAGACAAACGGUGCUGGAUUUCCCAGAGGGAGGUCAUCGAGUUCCUUGCCUUCUCGCAAAGUGUUCUUGUAUUUUUCUUAAAUAGCAUUGCAUGUUACUGCUGUACCGAGACUUUUAUGACAACUCCAUUAUCUGUUUCCCAAAGGUGAUGCUGAGAAACACGUCUCAUGCAUACCUCACGUUUCGUAUUAAUUCUUCCGUUGGGUCAAAAGCAGACCAAAUCCUUGAAAUGAGGCUGAAAUAAAGCUGAAUAACUGUCUCACUGUUAUUAAAA